GGCGGCAGGAGGCUGCGGCCGUCCGCUGCCACAGCGUGAGACCCCAACAAGUCAAUCACUACGCCACGACAAGCCACGCCAACCAGCCCUGAGCAGAAUUAAUUGUUCUGAAGAUCCACAUUCUCCUUGGUUGGUUCCUAGAGGAUGAAAAAGAUGGCCUUAAAACUUACAAGGUAAGUCUAGCAUUCCUAUUUUCAUCCUCCCAUUCUUGGCUUCAUUCUGUAUGGGUGUAGUACUUGGAAUUUGAAUAUUUCGGUAGGUUGAACUGAGAACCAAUCGAGAAUGUCAUAUUUGAUGAGUUCAAAAAAAGAUUUUCCUGCCCUGUAUGAAUGUAUGAUGUUGCUGCUAGUGCCAAGAAGGAUGGAUGUUAUAUUGUUUUGAUGCAAUACGUCAUUAUGGAUUAAUCUCAA